GACGACGCUGGCGGCGUGCCUGACACAUGCAAGUCGGACGGUUCUUGCACCUUCAAGCUUGCUUGCUGGUGCAAGGAUAGUGGCGGACGGGUGAGUAACGCGUGAACAUCUACCCAUUGGAGGGGGACAACCCGUCGAAAGGCGGGCUAAUACCGCGUAAGCCGCGAGGUGAGAGGCUGCCUAUUGGUGGCCGCCGAUGGAUGGGUUCGCGUCCUAUCAGCUGGUUGGUGGGGUAACGGCCUACCAAGGCGAAGACGGGUAGCCGGUCUGAGAGGAUGGCCGGCCACACUGGAACUGAGACACGGUCCAGACUCCUACGGGAGGCAGCAGUGGGGAAUAUUGGGCAAUGGGGGUAACCCUGACCCAGCGACGCCGCGUGAGGGACGAAGGUUUUCGGAUCGUAAACCUCUGUUGUACGGGAAGAAGGAAUUGACGGUACCGUACGAGAAAGCCCCGGCAAACUACGUG
rnacentral:rRNA from 1 species